rnacentral:rRNA from 1 species
AGUGAACGCUGGCGGUAGGCCUAACACAUGCCAGUCGAACGGCAGCACCGUAAGAGCUUGCUCUUACGGGUGGCGAGUGGCGGACGGGUGAGGAAUACAUCGGAAUCUACUUUUUCGUGGGGGCUAACGUAGGGAAACUUCCGCUAAUACCGCAUACGACCUACGGGUGAAAGCAGGGGAUCUUCGGACCUUUCGCGAUUGAAUGAGCCGAUGUCGGCUUAGCUAGUUGGCGGGGUAAAGGCGAACCAAGGCGACGAUCCGUAGCUGGUCUGAGAGGAUGAUCAGCCACACUGGAACAGAGACACGGUCCAGACUCCGAGGGGAGGCAGCAGUGGGGAAUAUUGGACAAGGGGCGAGAGCCUGAUCCAGCCAUACCGCGUGAGUGAAGAAGGCCUUCGGGUUGGAAAGCCCUUUUGUUGGGAAAGAAAAGCAGCAGGUUAAUACCCCGCGGUUCUGACGGUACCCAAAGAAUAAGCACCGGCUAACUUCGUG